rnacentral:rRNA from 1 species
AAUACAUGCAAGUCGAACGGUCUUUCUAUGGAAGCUUGCUUCCACUGAGAAGAUAGUGGCGAACGGGUGAGUAACGACGUGGGUAACCUGCCCAUAAGAGGGGGAGUAACAUCCGGAAACGGGUGCUAAUACCGCAUAGUUUCUUGAUUGCAUGAUUGAGAAAGGAAAGACGGCCUUUGUGCUGUCGCUUAUGGAUGGACCCGCGGCGUAUUAGUUAGUUGGUGAGGUAACGGCUCACCAAGACGAUGAUACGUAGCCGACCUGAGAGGGUGAUCGGCCACAUUGGGACUGAGACACGGCCCAAACUCCUACGGGAGGCAGCAGUAGGGAAUCUUCCGCAAUGGACGAAAGUCUGACGGAGCAACGCCGCGUGAGUGAAGAAAAGGCUUUCGGAUCGUAAAACUCUGUUGUCAGAGAAGAACAAGUUGGAGAGUAACUGCUCCAGCCUUGACGGUAUCUGACCAGAAAGCCACGGCUAACUACGUGCCAGCCGCCGC